rnacentral:rRNA from 1 species
GUCUUUUUGAUAAUAAUUUAAAGUCUGACCUGCCCAAUGAGUAUUUAAAUGGCCGCGGUAAUUUGACCGUGCAAAGGUAGCAUAAUCAUUAGUUUUUUAAUUGAAAGCUGGAAUGAAUGGUUGGACGAGAAAAUAGCUGUCUCAAUUUAAUUGUUAGUAGAAUUUUAUUUAUAAGUUAAAAAGCUUAUAUGAUUUUAAAAGACGAGAAGACCCUAUAGAAUUUUAUAUUUUUAUGAAUAAUUAUUUUUUAGUAUUAAUAAAUAUAUAUUUAUAAAAGUAUUUUGUUGGGGUGAUGGAAAAAUUUAAAUAACUUUUUUUAAAAUAAAUCAUAAAUUAAUGAUUAAUUGAUCCGUUUAUUACGAUUAUAAGAUUAAAUUACCUUAGGGAUAACAGCGUAAUUUUUUUUUAGAGUUCUUAUCGAAAAAAGAGUUUGCGACCUCGAUGUUGGAUUAAAAUUAACUUUUGGUGUAGGGGCUAAAAAGUUAGGUCUGUUCGACCUUUAAAAUUUUACAUGAUCUGAGU